AAAUAAGAAGCAAAAUUUUGCAUUUAGUUUCGACCUAAAAAUUUGAUUAAUAAUCCUUAUUUU
rnacentral:tRNA from 3 species